UGCAGUCGAACGGUAACGCGGGGCAACCUGGCGACGAGUGGCGAACGGGUGAGUAAUAUAUCGGAACGUGCCCAGUCGUGGGGGAUAACUGCUCGAAAGAGCAGCUAAUACCGCAUACGACCUGAGGGUGAAAGCGGGGGAUCUUCGGACCUCGCGCGAUUGGAGCGGCCGAUAUCAGAUUAGGUAGUUGGUGGGGUAAAGGCCUACCAAGCCGACGAUCUGUAGCUGGUCUGAGAGGACGACCAGCCACACUGGGACUGAGACACGGCCCAGACUCCUACGGGAGGCAGCAGUGGGGAAUUUUGGACAAUGGGGGCAACCCUGAUCCAGCCAUGCCGCGUGCGGGAAGAAGGCCUUCGGGUUGUAAACCGCUUUUGUCAGGGAAGAAAUCCUUUGGGCUAAUAACUCGGAGGGAUGACGGUACCUGAAGAAUAAGCACCGGCUAACUACGUGCCAGCAGCCGCGGUAAUACGUAGGGUGCAAGCGUUAAUCGGAAUUACUGGGCGUAAAGCGUGCGCAGGCGGUUAUGCAAGACAGAUGUGGAAUCCCCGGGCUCAACCUGGGAACUGCAUUUGUGACUGCAUGGCUAGAGUACGGUAGAGGGGGAUGGAAUUCCGCGUGUAGCAGUGAAAUGCGUAGAUAUGCGGAGGAACACCGAUGGCGAAGGCAAUCCCCUGGACCUGUACUGACGCUCAUGCACGAAAGCGUGGGGGAGCAA
rnacentral:rRNA from 1 species